AAUCCUCCUCAUGUGGCAAAUCUUUACAGUGAACAAGAGCAUUAUCCCAUAUCAGAACAUGCGGCCUGGAACUAAGGCCUGGCCUGGGACUGGCUUUGCCACCUCCUCACAGGCGAUCUUGGGUCUCCAACUUACUGUAUAACUGGGCCUGAGGAUUACUUCAAACUGUGACUCCCCUGACUCCACCUGAAUGCUGGGACUACCUGUGGCCAUGUGCCUGGUUUCUGUGGUUCUGGGUCUCAAGGCCCAGGCUUCAUAGACGAGGUGAAAAUUGAACUCCCUGAGUUUCAUUGAACUGGGUCCCCAUGAGGUUGGCAGCUGGUUGUUACAUCUGGAUUGAUGCAAGUGCUCCCAUCUCAAGUGCUCCCAUCUCAGCAUCCCUGGCAGGAGGAACUGAAGUGGGGCAUCAAGAGAUGGAACCCAGCCAGCCCCGGGGGAAGGCUCCUGAGAAAAUAAAAGAACGAAAGCAACUUGGCCCCCAGAAUCUGCGUGAGACAGGUGACCUUCGUGGGUAAGAACCCGUUGCUUCCAGUCGGUUUCGCUCUGCCUGCAGUCAGCUCUGGAACUUCCUCCGCUAAUCGGACUGUGGUUGCAGGUGGCACCAGAAUGGAUGGAGAAGCUUGAGUCACAGCCCACCAUGGUGGGCCCCUUCCAAUAACCACCAGGCCCACCUGGAAGUGCAACUCCAGGUCUAGUGGAAGUGAAAGCUGUCACAGGAGCCACCCACGUCUAUUUUGGGGGUUCCGCCUGAGUUCACCUCUCACCUAUCUGAAGGGCUGGCUUAAUGCGGUUUCCUUUCUACCUUUAUAGAAAUUGGCAGAGGCUUCUUCAUGGUCUUACCGUUUGGCCCCAGAAGCUCUGGAGGCACUGCUAUUAUUCAUCAUUGCUAUCCAGAACUGAUAUUUUGCUUCAGGUCUUAGGGCCACUGUUAGAAUGUCAACCAGUCCUGUCUUACUGCCUGGGUGUGGCCUGAGUCUCAGGCUCUUGGGAGUUUCAGAGAUUAGGAAUUCUGACCAAAUAGGAUCCUGCUCAUGGAACAAAUCUUCCCUGCUUCCCAGUGCUCCACGGUAAUUACUGCCCCCCUUUGUCUCCUCUGUCCUUCAGGAAGGGCAAAGCUACAGCUAAAGCAGCUGGAAGGUGAUUGGAAUAUUUAAUGUGGCUUCUAUUUCUGGUUUUCUGACUUUUCUUGCCUGAGGUACAGUGAGAAUGUAAUACAAAAUUUGAUUAGAGGAAAACCAGUGUAACCGGUUCAGCCACUUGAGAUAAAAAUGUGGUAAUAUCGCUUUUAUAUUUCUAAUAAAUGUAUUCC